UUACGAAUGGGGUCAUUAUUAGUUAGAAAAAUCGGGUGGGCGUACAGUAGCUGACCAGUUGGGAGACAGAGUUGUGCGAGCCCUGCCAGCAGGACCCACACUGACUGUUGUCUGUGUCUAACAUGUACAGUGCAGGUACAGUACAGUACGCGUACAGGGCACGACGACGAAUAAUACAUACGCGUGUCACCACUCGCGGUACAAGUACGAGUUCAUACAGCAAUGUCGCGUUCGAAUCUUAAUUCACGUGCCUAGAUCGCGUGGCAACAAUGCAAGCGCAAGAACCUGUCCAGAAUAAUAAAGGGUGGCCACUGAUUGGCGACUACUGCACACUUGUAUUUGCACAGGUAUCUCCCUGCCACGUGUAAGAGAUUGUUACAAGUACAUACUGUACUGUACUGUACAUACUGUACCUACAACUGGUCAAGGGUGCCCCCUUCUUGUGUAUGUACUCUUCACAAAUAGGAACUACAGACGAACAUGA
rnacentral:misc_RNA from 1 species